CAUCAGUUCCCCCAAGCUGCUUUCUGUCUUUUCUGUUGUAAUGUUAAGCAUGUCUUUUCUUUCCCAGAUAAUCCUUCAUCACUGAUUUCUGGAAGGUUAGCUUUGAAGAGGCAGGAUGGACUCCCACCCAAAAUGUGUAUGUUGAGACUGAUGAUGCCUCACACAUACCAAGCUUCUGGAAAAAGGUUUAUCACACACACGAUCAGGCUUUUGGGGAGAGCAAGGCAACCAUCCCAGAUUGGUUCGAAAAUGUCCCGUGAGAUCAGGGAAAGGAGAUUGUUGAGAUUUCUAUAUCACUAUGGAUGGGGCUGGGCUAGGUAAGCUCGUGUAAUGGAAUUCUGGUCAAUGGAAUAUGAAUGGAAUUAAUGUGGAUAACCUCCAUGAAGGGCACAGAAAAACCUCCCAGGAAAAAGUCUUGAUUUUUCUUCAUGUCUGCUGACUAAAUAUAAACUCUUGAAUAGACUUGAGUAUCAGCUGUUGAAGGAGGCAGAGGCUCUGUCAGCCUGGAUGCCUGAGUGACUUCAUGGAGUAUACCAUCUCUCCAGCUGGAUUUCAUAAGGAGAAAAAUCUUAAAUGUUUCUGCGCAGAAAGAAUGAGAAGAGCCUGCCUGGCCCUGGACUUCAUGUUUGACACAGGUGAUCGUCAUCCUCCUGAAAAAUUCUUUCCUUUUGUUCCUGCCUGCCAAUCUCUUGGUAUCUCUCCUUCAACAUGUUCUUUUUUUAAAAAAAACCCAGAUAUCUAUAUAUUAAAAAUAUAAUAUCUAUUAACCUGGAAAUCGUACUUCUUGAAAUCUAAUCCAUAGGGGGGAAAAAGCACCAGAGGCAAUGACACAUGAGUCAGGACAGGAUGUUUCCAGUGGCCCACCUGCAAAAAACCUGUAGACAAAGGGCAGAUUUAUUAUUAGGAAAAUGGUCAAACAAUUGAUGGGAUAUAUUAAAGUAUUAUGCAAACAUCACAAAGGAUAAAUAGAGCUAAACCAGCCAGGCACAGUGGCUCAAGCCUGUAAUCCCAGCACUUUGGGAGGCCGAGGCGGGUGGAUCACGAGGUCAAGAGAUCGAGACCAUCCUGGUCAACAUGGUGAAACCCUGUCCCUACUAAAAAUACAAAAAUUAGCUGGGCAUGGUGGCACGUGCCUGUAGUCCCAGCUACCCAGGAGGCUGAGGUAGGAGAAUUGCCUGAACCCAGGAGGCGGAGGUUGUGGUGAGCUGAGAUCGCACCAUUGCACUCCAGCCUGGGUAACAAGAGCGAAACUCCAUCUCAAAAAAAAAAUAGAGCUAAACCAGUUGAUUUGAUGGUGUUGAGUAAGAAAAGCAAGAUUCAG
rnacentral:lncRNA from 13 species